UUAAAGGCAAAAAAUAUUUUGAUAAGUUAAAAGUUAAGUAAAUACGAGAAUAAAUUAGCUUUAAAAAAAAAAAAAAAAAAAAAUCGUGAAUGUACAUGUACAAGUCGCGGUGGUGUACCAGAUAUGUUUGAAACUAAACUGUCUCAAACUUGAUGUUUUGUCAUGGCAGCCUGAAUAGCUUGAUAUUCAAGUAAGUAAAUGAGCACAUAAGCGACGAAGUGACUUUAUCUAUCAUUUGUAAGGGGCAUAGUUCUCGAUGGAAAUAAGAAAACAUUCUGAAAAGGCGAAAAAGUUUGAAUCUAUUCGAACAUACUAGCCUGCGCCAUUUUCGAGCUCUCACCCGCCUUUACCCGCAAACGUCAGUAUACUUUAACUUCAGAGUUUGGAUGGUUAAAAGUUGUUUUGUUUUUUUUAAAAAAGGUCGCAUGUACUUUGAUUAAUCACUGAUUUCAUGCACCACCCGGCGAGUAGGCUAAGUGACCCAAAACAAACACGCCCAUGAUGUUUGCGUGACCAGCAGGUGUACGCUGGGCCUGUCUAAUUGCUGAAAAAGGUCAGGGCGGCUACUCUCGCAGUGAAUUCCUACCUUCGGUGAUGAGCGUGAGGCCCUCUCCACUCUUCUACGACCGGUUACCCCUGUCACGGCUGUGACUGCCCGUUCAGCUCCAGAGUGCAUGGAAACUUUGAGGAGGCUGAGUGGACCGGUUGUGCUUAACAUUGAGAAUGAACGAGCAGCGAAGUCGGACCCGGGGCAGGCCGGGGAGGACUCCGCGGUGCACAGGUCUCGCAGAAUCACCUUCAUCCAGAGCGUUCCUAGCCUCCAUCCCUCAUCAGAUCCUCCACCUCCACCUCCAACUUCGCCUGUGAAGAAUGGCUUCAUAUCCACUACAUAAAUCAACAGCCACAGAACAGGUUGUCUAUGAACUGUGUGAACUGGAUGUGUCCGUCGUGCGCCAUGAGAAACGUCUCUCUGGCUUUACUGAGGAACUCGAUGAACUCGCUGUAGUGGCGUGGGCUGAUGUGCGUAAGCCGAGAGUGCGUCGUGUUGAUGUAAGCCCCGAUCGUGGCAUCCAGUAGCUGCCUGAGCGGAGCCUUGUCCAGAGACAUCAGCUUCCCAGAGUUCCUGCGGCUGUGCAGCGCCACCAUGCCCGGUGUCGUCAACGUGCACCGCCGCAAAAUGUCCGACAAGACGGUGGCACACUUCACACUCUUCACCACCAGGGGGAUGACGGCUGCCAGUUCGUUUUUUCCCAGCGAGUGGCUGAGCGCACACGCCCAGAGCACGUCGUUGAUGGCCGGGUGUGUGUCUUGGUUGUAGCUGAGGUUCAGGCCCAGCUCCAGGGAGACUUUGAGCAGCGUGAUGUCCGGCAGGCUGUCCAUGAGGGUGGCGAUUUUGAAGGCAUCCUGGGCCAGUUUGAAGAUGUGGGAUGAGGAGUGGA